rnacentral:rRNA from 1 species
CGUUCCCAUGCCGAACACGAAGGUUAAGCUUCAAAGCGCUGAUGGUACUGCAGGGGAGGCCCUGUGGAAGAGUAAGUCGUUGCCAGAU